UACGUAGGGGGCAAGCGUUGUUCGGAUUUACUGGGCGUAAAGGGCGCGUAGGCGGCCAGUGCAAGUCAGUUGUGAAAUCUCCGAGCUUAACUCGGAAAGGUCAACUGAUACUGCUCGGCUAGAGUGCGGAAGGGGCAACUGGAAUUCUUGGUGUAGCGGUGAAAUGCGUAGAUAUCAAGAGGAACACCUGCGGCGAAGGCGGGUUGCUGGGCCGACACUGACGCUGAAGCGCGAAAGCUAGGGGAGCGAACGGG
rnacentral:rRNA from 1 species